rnacentral:ncRNA from 2 species
CGUUACCACAGGGGGGGCUUUUAGCUGAGAUUGAGCCCGAUUCACGUCGGCUCUGACCCUUUGAACCUGUUCGUUAGCACGAGCGUAGGGAUUGUGGCGAUUGCAUUUU